rnacentral:rRNA from 1 species
CAAGUCGAACGAGAAAGUGGAGCAAUCCAUGAGUACAGUGGCGUACGGGUGAGUAACACGUGGAUCAUCUACCUCUUUGUGGGGAAUAACCCUGGGAAACCGGGGAUAAUACCGCAUAAGCCUGAGAAGGGAAAGCAGCAAUGCGCUGAGAGAGGAGUCCGCGGCCGAUUAGCUAGUUGGCAGGGUAAAAGCCUACCAAGGCAGAGAUCGGUAGCCGGCCUGAGAGGGCACACGGCCACACUGGCACUGAAACACGGGCCAGACUCCUACGGGAGGCAGCAGUGGGGAAUCUUGCACAAUGGGGGAAACCCUGAUGCAGCGACGCCGCGUGAGCGAUGAAGCCCUUCGGGGUGUAAAGCUCUUUCGGCAGGGAAGAUUAUGACGGUACCUGCAGAAGCAGCUGCGGCUAACUACGUGCCAGCAGCCGCGGUAAUACGUAGGCAGCAAGCGUUGUUCGGAGUUACUGGGCGUAAAGGGUGUGUAGGCGGUUGUUUAAGUUUGGUGUGAAAUCUCCCGGCUCAACUGGGAGGGUGCGCCGAAUACUGAAUGACUUCGAGUGCGGGAGAGGAUAGUGGAAUUCCUGGUGUAGCGGUGAAAUGCGUAGAUAUCAGGAGGAACACCGGUGGUGUAGACGGCUAUCUGGACCGUAACUGACGCUGAGACACGAAAGCGUGGGUAGCAAACAGGAUUAGAUACCCUGGUAGUCCACGCCCUAAACGAUGCAUAUUUGGUGUGGGUCAUUCAGUUGAUCCGUGCCGGAGCUAACGCGUUAAAUAUGCCGCCUGGGGAGUACAGUCGCAAGGCUGAAACUCAAAGGAAUUGACGGGGGCCCGCACAAGCGGUGGAGCAUGUGGUUCAAUUCGACGCAACGCGAA